GAUCUGGCUCAGGAUUAACGCUGGCGGCGCACAUAAGACAUGCAAGUCGAACGGACUUAAUCGAUUCUUUUAGAUUCGAAGCGGUUAGUGGCGGACUGGUGAGUAACACGUAAGGAACCUGCCUAUUAGAGGGGAAUAACAACGAGAAAUCGUUGCUAAUACCGCAUAAGCUAGUAGUACCGCAUGGUACAGCUAGAAAAGGAGAAAUCCACUAAUAGAUGGCCUUGCGUCCGAUUAGCUAGUUGGUGGGG
rnacentral:rRNA from 1 species